rnacentral:lncRNA from 1 species
AAAACAAGAAGUUUCAAUUUUUAAGCAACAAAACAGAGUCAAUUUGAAUCUACAAUUCAUAUUCACGAAAAGUUUCACUAGAUUCAAACUCGGUCCAUUAAAAAGAGAAGAAAACAGCUAAAAUCAAAUCGAGAAACAAAUCCUAUUAGGGCACAAAGCGGUGGAAAUAGGGAAUGAGCGAACCCUCACCAGAUUCCUCUUCUCGCGGAAGAACUCGGGUUCCUGCUUCGGCUUCGGCGGCGCCUUGACGCGCUUCCCCCUGCUGGCGCCCUUCGUGGUAGACUCCUUCUUCAGCUCCUCCGGCGACUUGCUGUCGCCGCCGCUGCUGCUUCCUCCUCCGCAGCCGCCGCCCUCUUCCUCCCUCUUCUUCUCCUCCUCCUCCGCCGCCCUCUUCUUCGGCGCCGCCCUCUUCCUCCCUCUCAUCUCGUUCCAAAUCUUAGUGCUAGGGUUAGGGUUAGGGUUAGGAUUAGGGUUUCAGCUCUUGGAACCGUUGGAGGGAGAAGGAGGAUUAGGGUUAGGGCUUUUGGUGAGCAAGAGGAAAAAGAGCGGUAAGGCGAAAAUUUUGCGUGAGGCGAAACUCCAGAGAGCUCCAGCGCCCGCGUUUGUACACCAAACAGUACUCUCACAGCAUGGAGAAACUAUUACGUGGACCGGUUUCACCACGUCAUCAUGAACCGCCCGCUAAUUCUCCAACGCUCUCGAAUACAUCCACCGUUGUUAAUUAAGGAGUAUUUAAAUUCCGAAAUAUAUGAAUUUAUUGGACGGUGGAGAUUUAAAGGAGCGCAUGCGGUUCAUAGAUGGCGUGGUGAACGCGCUCGAUACCUGUGCGUAGCGUAGGCUUGAGGCAAUCAAAAUUUGAACGGAGACCGAGUUCGACUCAAUUUAAUGGCGUUUAUUAGGACUCGUUUUAAUUAAUAAUUAGGCGAACUUCGACUGUUACAACUUGGCUCGAGAUAAUAGAUAAAAUAAUAAUAAUAUAAUAAUAAAUGCAUUAAUAAAUAAAUAUGUAUAAAAAAAUUAUAAAAAAUUAGUAAAUAAGAAAAAUAUUUUUCUAAUUAGUAGUAUUCAUGUCCUGUUCCAAUAGAGCCAGACUCAACCAAACCGGCUCAUAUUUGUAGGCUCAAAUUUGAAAUAUUACAAAUAUAAAUAAGAACUCUUUUGUAAGUGGAUCUCGAGAUUAAUGUGUAAAAAAUGCCAAAAAUUAAUAAAAUUAAGGGUUAAUUCAUAUAGGUCCCUACAAAUAUAGUGAAUUACAAAUAUAUUCCUACAAAGUUCAACUUUUAUAUAUUGUUUCUGUAAAAGUUCUAAUAUUUUUAAAUAUGUCAUUCUGUUUUAUUACCGUUAAAAAAUUAUUUAUUUUAUAAGUGAAAUGACCUUUUUGUCAUCACCAAUAUUUCUUCUAAAAGUUUCAAUUAUUAAUUAAAGAGAGGUAAAAUGAUUAAUUCAUCUCAUUAACUAACUAGGGUUAAGUAUUUUACCUAUAGUUAACUAAUUUUUUUAACUGAUCCUAACGGUAGAAAAAUAUUUGAAAAUAUUUUGCAAGGAUAAUAUAUAAAAGUUGAAUUCUAUAGGAAUAUAUUUACAAUUCACUAUGUUUGUAGGGAUUUGUAUGAAAUUAAACCUAAAAUUAAAGAGUUAAAGUCUGUAUUGUUUAUAAUAUUCUUUUUUUCUUGAGAGAUAGAUAGCAUACUAUCCACUUCGUUUAUUUCAUUUAGAAAUAAACUUAGCUAGAAAUGUGAAUCAACUAGGAUUUGAACUUGGGACCUCGGGUACCAACCACCAAGCCUUUGUCACUUGCGCUAGGGACAGUCGGUUGUAUUGUUUAUAAUAUUCUAGUCAAGAAAUAUGCUUAUAAAUAUAUUUUAAAAAACAGACUCAAAUUCAAUGUGUAAAUCUCAAAUCGAAUUUAACAUCGCCAAAGUUUUGUUUUAAGAUAGAAAAGUAGCAUAUAUCAAUUUCAUUCAUAUUUUUUUAAAAUAAACUUAGCUGAAAACAUAAAGCAACUAGAUUUCGAACUUAAAAUCUCAAAUACAAACAAUCCAGUUCUUUGCUAUUUGUGCUAGGGAGGAUCGGUGGCAUGGCAAAAGUUAAUGAUAUGAAAAGAGCAACUUUAUUAAUAACAUUUUAAUCCAUAUCUCUUCCUACACAAAUACAAAUUGAAAACAAUCAGGCUAAUUUACUUGUUGUUUGCUAGUCAAAAUGUCAGAGGUUUGAUUCUCUGCCAACAUAUUUUUUAAUGCAAAGUCUAGCGAUUGGACAAUGCCUGUUUCCUUUCAUUCAGUAAAAAAAGUUAUUAUAAAAAUAAUAAUAUUUAGUAAUAAACUUUUAAGAGUAAUUAAAAAAAUGGCUACAAGAAUAGAUUAAUUUAACAAAAUUGAAAUUUGUCGUGAAAGAUUUCAUUAAUUACUGUAGUUGAUUGCAAAUUUCCAUAUUUAAUAAUAAAUACUAGCAAAUUAUAAAAUUUUAAUAAUUUUUAAUUUUAGAAGCGUUAUGAUGUAAAUUCGUAAUUUUUAAUUUUACUAAUUUUGUGUAUUUAUCUAUCACUCGGUCAUUGCCAUAUAUCAAAAAAAGUUACUCAUCUUCGAUCGAUUUAUUAAUAUAUGACUCAUAUUUUGAAUUGGUCUGUUGAUAAUUUUCAAAAUUAGCAUAUACGAAUUUUAUAUAGAUAGUUUCAUGAUAAAAUAAUAUAAACAAAAAAGUAGAGCUAUUAUGCUAUCCAAAGCAUAAACGAGUUGAUGCUUCUGAUUUUUUGGCCCUUAAAUCAACCUAUUUGAUCAUUUUUAACCAUUGGAUUAAUAUUAUUAUCUAAUGGGGACCACUCAAUCAUAAGAAGGAUCGCUAACAUCCUAAUCGUACAUUCCUUAAUCCAAGAAUCAAAAAGUCGAAAGCACCAACCCUCUUAUUCUUCUGAUAGUAUAGUAACUCUAUACUAAAUAAAAUAACAUGUUUGUAAAUUGCUUAUCUAAAUAUAUGCCUUAUACUCAUAAUAUUCUCCCAUUAUUAUUUUUUUCUUCUUCUCAUCCCGCUCGACACCGAUCUUCUCCUUUAAGUUACUUGAUUUCUAUCCAUGUAGCUCGUAGUAUUCUCAAAUAAUUCUUAACAUUGUUUUUAGUUACUUUACAAUAAAAUUAUUUAUUUACAGCUUCCAACAUCACGUUGAGAGUUCAAGAUUUGAAGAACUUAUCAAUUUUCAUUAUUUGUUGUGAUUGCUGACCAAUAAAUUGAAUGAAAAAUUAUUUUGAAAGUUGUCAAUUUCAUUCUUUAUAAAAUUAUAUUUUGAAAGUGGAGCUUCACUUAGAGCUAUUACUAGUUUAUAUUUCACUAUCCAUAUCCUAUAAAAAAUGAAAGGGAGACGGUAGAGAAAUGAAUGUAAAAAUUAUAUUUAGCAUGUCGAAAUAUAUAGUACGAAUAUCACUUAUAUAAAACAAAACUUAUUUAUAUAAAACAAGACUUAGUUAACUUAAAUCGAAGAGAAACUUAUUCAUAUAAAAUAGCAUAUACAGAACUCAUACAGUAAAUCAAUUCAACUAGAUUUAUAUUUAAUUAAUUGCUACUUUGCCAUAUUUUCAUUGUUAUCCUAUCCAUCAUUUGUUCCCGUUCAUGGGCCUUCUACUUAUAUUUUCGUUGAGAUCAUGGCUGAGAUGAUGAAGCGUAACUAGAUGAUUGUGCCAACCACUCUUUCUCGCUUGGUACCAAUUCAUCUUCACCAAGAGGCAUUAUAUAGUUAUGUAUAAUGCAACAAGCAAACAUUUGAUUCACUUACAUUGAAAAAGAAAAAAAUCGGAUCCAGAGGUUAAAAUCUUAAAGUAAUUUUUUAAUGAACCAAAUGCACGCUCAACUAAGAUUCGUAAAGAAGUUUGCUUAUAGUCAAAAAGCUCUUGAGAGCCGAUUUGAAGGAGUACGAGCUUCCUAUUCUCGUAAAUGAUAUCGCACUUUUUGGUAAGGCAAUAUAAACCUUGAUCUAGUUGAAUAAUCUGCAUCAACCCAAUAAUAUUUUCUUGAGAGAUAAAAAGAAUAAGAUAGUGUCAUUAUUAGAUUUCACACUUUUUCGGUUGCAAAAAUUUAUACAAUAUAUAAUUUAUCUUCAGAAAUAUUAAGAGCAUUAGGUCUUUCAAAAACAUAUCAUAGGACAAGAGUGUCCGGUGUCGACCCCGUUCAUCCAACUAAGACAUAAAAUACAAGUCAAAAUUUAUUCUAGCAUACAUUUUGUGUAAUAUAAGAUUUUAUGUCGCAAAAUGCCCCAACUUCCGAUAAUAGAAUUGAUGCUUGUAUAUGCAUACCGUUGAGUGAUCCGAUGUAGUUUUAUCAUAAUUAUUCAUGUAAUAUUUAAAAAAAUUACAUCAACCUAUACAAAAGAAUCGUUGACUCUUAUAUGAAAAAAUAAAAUUAUAUCUUAUAAAAUAGCAUAAUACGUAGUUCAACGCAGUUUGUUGAUGGACUAUUGUGCUUGGAGGUCUUACUAAGCCAUCAUGAAGCUCACCAAUUGUAUAUAAAAUUAAUUAAAAUAUCUGACUUAUUAUUUUAUCGGAACAAAUAAAAUUAUACCUAACUACUCUAUUUCUGAUAUUAUGUCUAAUCAUAAUUAUAUGGAGAAAUAUUGCAAACUGCUCUUCAACGUUUAUAUUGAGAGUGUCGCUAAGCAGUACUCUUUGAUGUAAAAUUUCAUAUAGUUUGAAAAAAAUUCCUCCUCAUUCGAACUAUAUUAAGACAUGUAAUGUCCCUUCCAUACAAUAAUAUUUGUAAAUAUUUCAUUCAAAUUCGAUUUCUUGAAUAUUUAAAUUUAAGUUUACAUGGUCGAUUCAGAAGCACUAUUAUCAAAAAUAACUUAUUAGUAUGAAGACGAACAUACCGAUAACAGAAUAUAAUAUUCAAACUCUCUCUCUCUCUAUAUAUAUAGAGUUUGUACUUGUAUUUUUCAGAAAUUUUAGGGUCAAUUUUGUCUCCUUGAUCAACUCUACUUAGAGGCCAUUUGGUUACAUGUAGUUGCAACUACAUAUUAAUACAAAUUCGGUGUUUUGUUUGAUGUAUUUAACCCCAACUACUACAGUAAAAAUUGCAAGAGGAUGUGAUCCAAAUUAGCCACAUUUCCAAUUGUAGCAGUUGGAGAGAGUAACUUUAUGUAAAAGGUAAGCUUACAUCCUUAAUUAUUUUUUAAAUAAAAAAAUAUUUUUUUUUACAUUGGAGAUAAUCUUACCAUUAUAUAUAUAAAAUGAUAAAAUUUUAAAAAUUAUUUCUCAAUAACAUACAACCAAACAAAUUAUUUGUAGUUACAGCAGUUUCUACUACAUCCAACGAAACAUGAUGCAUGUAGUUACAAUUACUGCAUGUAUGCAUCUAUGUAAAAAUAAGCUUGUUUACACUUUACAGAAUCGAAAAUAGUUUUUCCUCUUACUUGGCUGUUUGUACAUAAAUCUUCCCAUAAAUUUAUUUUUUGAAGUUUUUGAAAAAUUUCGAGUUUUUAUUUUUUGUAUGUUUUUUCGACAAACUGUGAAGAAGAGACUGGGAGCGCAUAGUUUCUGCAUAUCUUAUUAUUCAAAUAAAUAAAAUAUUAUUUAUUAUUCAAAUGAAUAGAUUUAAAUAUAUAUUUAUUAAAUUAACAUAAUUUAUAUAUUUAAUUUUUCUAUAGUUUAGAAGUAAUGCUAGUGUUUACACCCCCACCCAUGGAUGGGAAGGGAUAUUCCCACCGGUCACAUUAAUGUGAUUGGUAAACAACAUUCUACCCUUGGAUGGAUGGGAUGUAUUGGGAUGUACAAGAAGCAUUUUCUAAUUUAGUUAUAGGUAUGCUUUCAAAUUUUGAUUUUGGAUUUCAUAGAAAUCAAGUAGAGACUAAUCUGCUACAUUGGAAAAUAACAGGUCUAAAUAUUAGACCAAUUAACGAUCUAUUAUUAACCGAUUAUUAGUCCGAUCCCAUUAGGGAUGCAAAUGGGCCGAAUAUGAGAACAAGAGCCCAACCCCGCUUCUGUCUACUGUCCCGACUAUCAAAAUCUCUAAUCGCUUCCCACCCCAAAUUUGUUAUCUUAUAAUCCGUCCGACCUCAUAAUCCAUCCUUGUCAGCACCUCCAAAUCCGCCCCACCAGCUAAUUUUUUUUUCACAAAUUGUAAUAUUAUUAAUAUUUCGUAAAUAAAAAUUAACAAUUUUUUAACCAUAAUGAAUAAUAUCAUCAAGUUAUAUAUAACUAGUGCAGUGACCCGUGCGUUACGGCGGGUAAAUACUGUUAAAGUGAAAAUUUGUUUGUAAAGAAUAAAAUAUUAGUUUAGUACAAAAAAAGUAAAUAUAGUCUACACUAUAGACAAACACUUUUAAAAGAGAAAAGUAUAAUGAAAAAAAAUUUAAUCAUUUCAACAAAAUUAUUCAAUAUUAUUCAAGAGAAGUCGCAUGCAAAUGGAUGAUUAAAAUCUAUAAACUUAGAUGAAGCCACAACAUUUUUUGCCAUGUGGCAUGUUAUCCUUCAUUUUCAUAGCCCAACUUUAAAUCAAACCAUCUUCUCUUCUUCUCAACGCCCAACCUUUCACCUUCCCACUCCUAUAAUUACAUAUAAGGUGUAACAUUUAAUUACAUAUAACUUUAAAUCCAACUUUAAAUCAAAUCACCUUCUCCUCUUCUUAACGUUCAACCCUUUACAUCUCCACUCCUCUAAUUACAUGCAAGAUGCAACAUUUAAUUACAUGCACCAUAUUAAUAUUCUAUCAAUGAGUGAAUCCCCAAUAAAAUGAUGACAUGGCAAGCCCUUCUUUUUUUAAAUUUUUAAAUUUUUUUUUAAUAUUGGACCCCUUUAAUCUCUCUCUUUCUCUCUCUUCCCCCUUCCCACCGCACGUCUCUUCAUCUGAUCUCUCCACUUUCUCGAGAAACCGCCAACCCCGCACCCACCGCACGUCUCUUCGUCUUCUCUUUGCUCUCUCGAGAAACCCCCAACCCCGCACCCAUGCUCUAUAACUUUAAUCACUCCCCUCCUCUAUUAAUCUCACACCCCCUCUUUUUUGUAACUCUUUUUAUGCAUCAUAAAAAAAUAUAUCAUCGUCUAUUCCCUCACUCUACACUCAUCUCCCUCUUUCUCUCAUUAUGUUAACGAAGAUGAUGAGGAAGAAGAAGAAAAUAAAGAGCUUCUGAAGAAUAUUAUCUCCUUCGAGAAGCAUCGUCCCGCGAAGCAGAGCUGCGGCCGAUAUAAGUGCCUGCUGAGCCGAUCCGCACGGGGGCCCCUUCUCACCAUGUGAAUUUAGUCAUGCAAAUUGAUUGUGCUUGAUAUGAUAUAGCUUUCUAUAUAUUAAUAAACUGUAAAUAUAAGUUUUAUUAAAAUUUUUAAAUUUUGCUUCUAUUAUCUAUCCGCUGCAUCACGCGAGUCUGUACACUAGUUAUUUAUAUAACACAAUAAUCAAAUGAGAAAAAAAAGAAAAAAAUAAAAUGUAGACCCCACUCUUCCCCAAACUAAAGGGUAAGUACACGUAGGAUUUUAGCUAUGAAGAUUAAUGUAUAAAAAAUUUCUAUAACACAAUAAUCAAAUGAGAAAUAAAAGAAAAUGAGAAAAAAAAGUAGACCCCACUGUUUCUCAAAUUAAGGGGGUGGGUACAUGUAGAGGUAUAGAUGGAUGAUUAAAAUUAUUUUUAUAACACAAUAAUUAAAUGAGAGAGAAAAAAGAAAAUGAGAAAAAAAAAAUUAGGCCCCACUCUUUCCCAAAGUAAGGGGGAUGAUACAUGUAGGAUUUAGCCAUGAAGAUUAAUGUAUAGAAAUAUAUAAUAUAUAUAUAGAAUAGAUAUAGAUAUAGAGGUAUAAAUUAACAACAUCAACUAUAAAAUUCAAAAAUAUCAAUUAUAAUUUACAAUAAAUUUUAAAAAAUUUCAAAUACAUGCAUAUUAAAAUAAAAAAAGUCUACUAGAAUUAUAGCACUAACUUGGGAAGCGCCGACUUAUUUAUAAUUAAUUUUUUUUACAAAUAUAUUAUUUUUAAGAGUAUUUUUUAAAAAUAUAAAUAAUUUUUUGGAUGGAUUUGGGGCGGAUUCUGAGUGAAUUCACUGCAGAUCAAGAUUUUUUUUUCAUUUUCCAACCCGAAUCUAUUUCGAAUCAUAGAAAUUAAUUACGCCGCCCCGAAUCAGUUUAUUUCUGUCAUAUUUCCUACCCGGACGGAAUGACACGAGUAAAGAUGUAAUGCCCGAAUUUUAUCUUAAUCCAAACCCGAACGGAGCAGAUUUACCCGAUGUAAAUAGAUAUGGAUUUAGAUAUGGAUGUUAGAUGUAUGCCCUAGAAGCCAACAAGGCCGACACAUGUAUUCUUUCUAGGACAUAAUUUUGUAUUUGAUUUUAAAAUAUUAUGAAUAACUUUGGGUUUUUAUUUCCAUUUAUGUUGUGUAUGUGUCUAUGAAUCGUCCAAGGAAUUAAUAAGAUGAUGACAUAUAUUCUCAAGUGUUGAGAAUUUGAGACAUGUGUCAUUGGUGAUUAAUUCCUAAAUGCUCCCGAUCAAUGGAUCAUCACGGGGACGGUGAUUGAUCCGAUGAGAUUGGUGCAUAGGUCGCUU